GACGACACCAAUGAUGACA
rnacentral:snRNA from 1 species